AGCAGCCGCGGUAAUUCCAGCUCCAAUAGCGUAUAUUAAAGUUGUUGCAGUUAAAAAAGCUCGUAGUUGAAUUUCGGGGUCAGUAGGUUGGUCAUGCCUCCGGUAUGUACUGGUCUCACUGAUUCCUCCUUCCUGAUGAACCGUAAUGCCAUUAAUUUGGUGUUGCGGGGAGACUGGACUGUUACUUUGAAAAAGUUAGAGUGUUUAAAGCAGGCUAACGCUUGAAUACAUUAGCAUGGAAUAAUGAAAUAGGACGUUCGAUCCUAUUUUGUUGGUUUCUAGGAUUGACGUAAUGAUUAAUAGGGAUAGUUGGGGGCAUUAGUAUUCAAUUGUCAGAGGUGAAAUUCUUGGAUUUAUUGAAGACUAACUACUGCGAAAGCAUUUGCCAAGGAUGUUUUCAUUAAUCAAGAACGAAAGUUAGGGGAUCGAAGACGAUCAGAUACCGUCGUA
rnacentral:rRNA from 1 species